rnacentral:rRNA from 1 species
UACGUGGGGUCCGAGCGUUGUCCGGAAUUAUUGGGCGUAAAGGGCUCGUAGGCGGUCUGUCGCGUCGGGAGUGAAAACUUACAGCUUAACUGUGAGCGUGCUUCCGAUACGGGCAGACUUGAGGUAUUCAGGGGGAGAACGGAAUUCCUGGUGUAGCGGUGAAAUGCGCAGAUAUCAGGAGGAACACCGGUGGCGAAGGCGGUUCUCUGGGAAUAUCCUGACGCUGAGGAGCGAAAGUGUGGGGGAGCGAACAGG